CUUGGUCAUUUAGAGGAAGUAAAAGUCGUAACAAGGUUUCCGUAGGUGAACCUGCGGAAGGAUCAUUAAUAAGUCGUCCUACUUACGAGUAGGAUAAGAUUCCACGUCGGCCCUGUAAUGGGGAUUUGCGGUGGUGGAUAGUAAUAUCUGCCUUUAGGAUGAACACUUAAAACCCGUGUCUACCUUCUUUGUUGCUUUGGCGGGCCGCCUUAUGGCGUUGGCUCCGGCUGACCGUGCCCGCCAGAGGACUCAAACUCUUUUUGUUUAGUGACGUCUGAGUACUAUAUAAUAGUUAAAACUUUCAACAACGGAUCUCUUGGUUCUGGCAUCGAUGAAGAACGCAGCGAAAUGCGAUAAGUAAUGUGAAUUGCAGAAUUCAGUGAAUUAUCGAAUCUUUGAACGCACAUUGCGCCCCUUGGUAUUCCGAGGGGCAUGCCUGUUCGAGCGUCAUUACAACCAAUCAAGCCUGGCUUGGUGUUGGGGUUCGCGGUCCCGCGGCCCCUAAAAUCAGUGGCGGUGUCGCCUGGCUCUAAGCGUAGUAACUUUCUCGCUAUGGUGUCCGGGUGGUCUCCUCCAGAACUCCCCCACACGGUUGACCUCGGAUCAGGUAGGGAUACCCGCUGAACUUAAGCAUAUCAAUAAGCGGAGGA
rnacentral:rRNA from 1 species